UGCAGUCGAACGAUGAUCCCAGCUUGCUGGGGGAUUAGUGGCGAACGGGUGAGUAACACGUGAGUAACCUGCCCUUGACUCUGGGAUAAGCCUGGGAAACUGGGUCUAAUACCGGAUACGACCAUCUGGCGCAUGUCAUGGUGGUGGAAAGCUUUUGUGGUUUUGGAUGGACUCGCGGCCUAUCAGCUUGUUGGUGGGGUAAUGGCCUACCAAGGCGACGACGGGUAGCCGGCCUGAGAGGGUGACCGGCCACAC
rnacentral:rRNA from 1 species